AUCUGGCUUUUAUAUUGUUGCAAUCAUACUGUUCUAUAAUAGUGUGCUACCUGCUACUUUUGUAAAAACUGCACUGUGCAGUGCCUUACUGUAAUGUGUAGUGCAUCCUAUAAGUCUAUAUUGACUGGUUAGUUGCAUACUUUCAAUAUUGUGUUCUGCCAACAUACUGCAGUACUGAUUGGAGCAAUGGUGUACUUACUCUGACACUACUGUGUGGUGCUGUAUAUACUAUAUUGUGGUGCCUUGCAUAUUUAAUAUAUUGUGGUGUUGCUCUACACUUUAUUGUGCCAUUCUGUAUUCUUUUGUUUUAUAAUGUACAGUACCGCAGCCCAAGACAUGCCAGUAUGGCAGAGUAGUAC
rnacentral:lncRNA from 1 species